GACGAACGCUUGCGGCGUGCUUAACACAUGCAAGUCGAACGGAAAGGCCCUGCUUUUGUGGGGUGCUCGAGUGGCGAACGGGUGAGUAACACGUGAGUAACCUGCCCUUGACUUUGGGAUAACUUCAGGAAACUGGGGCUAAUACCGGAUAGGAGCUCCUGCUGCAUGGUGGGGGUUGGAAAGUUUCGGCGGUUGGGGAUGGACUCGCGGCUUAUCAGCUUGUUGGUGGGGUAGUGGCUUACCAAGGCUUUGACGGGUAGCCGGCCUGAGAGGGUGACCGGCCACAUUGGGACUGAGAUACGGCCCAGACUCCUACGGGAGGCAGCAGUGGGGAAUAUUGCACAAUGGGCGGAAGCCUGAUGCAGCAACGCCGCGUGCGGGAUGACGGCCUUCGGGUUGUAAACCGCUUUCGCCUGUGACGAAGCGUGAGUGACGGUAAUGGGUAAAGAAGCACCGGCUAACUACGUGCCAGCAGCCGCGGUGAUACGUAGGGUGCGAGCGUUGUCCGGAUUUAUUGGGCGUAAAGGGCUCGUAGGUGGUUGAUCGCGUCGGAAGUGUAAUCUUGGGGCUUAACCCUGAGCGUGCUUUCGAUACGGGUUGACUUGAGGAAGGUAGGGGAGAAUGGAAUUCCUGGUGGAGCGGUGGAAUGCGCAGAUAUCAGGAGGAACACCAGUGGCGAAGGCGGUUCUCUGGGCCUUCCUGACGCUGAGGAGCGAAAGCGUGGGGAGCGAACAGGCUUAGAUACCCUGGUAGUCCACGCUGUAAACGGUGGGUACUAGGUGUGGGGUCCAUUCCACGGGUUCCGUGCCGUAGCUAACGCUUUAAGUACCCCGCCUGGGGAGUACGGCCGCAAGGCUAAAACUCAAAGGAAUUGACGGGGCCCCGCACAAGCGGCGGAGCAUGCGGAUUAAUUCGAUGCAACGCGUAGAACCUUACCUGGGUUUGACAUGGAUCGGGAGUGCUCAGAGAUGGGUGUGCCUCUUUUGGGGUCGGUUCACAGGUGGUGCAUGGCUGUCGUCAGCUCGUGUCGUGAGAUGUUGGGUUAAGUCCCGCAACGAGCGCAACCCUUGUUCACUGUUGCCAGCACGUUAUGGUGGGGACUCAGUGGAGACCGCCGGGGUCAACUCGGAGGAAGGUGGGGAUGACGUCAAGUCAUCAUGCCCCUUAUGUCCAGGGCUUCACGCAUGCUACAAUGGCUGGUACAGAGAGUGGCGAGCCUGUGAGGGUGAGCGAAUCUCGGAAAGCCGGUCUCAGUUCGGAUUGGGGUCUGCAACUCGACCUCAUGAAGUCGGAGUCGCUAGUAAUCGCAGAUCAGCAACGCUGCGGUGAAUACGUUCCCGGG
rnacentral:rRNA from 1 species